rnacentral:rRNA from 1 species
CGAGUCAUGAAAAGAAUUUUUACCUCAGACCUUAAAAUUACUCUUUAUAAGAAGUAAUAAUUUUCUCUCAAAUGGCGUGCCAGCAGUCUCGGUUAAACGAUUAGCUCAACAAAAUAAAUCGAAUCUCCAAAAUUCCCAGUUCCUUAAGGAUAAAAAUAGGUGGAAUUUAAAAACAAAGGAAAACUAUAAUGGAGAAGGAAAUAAUAAUAGGAAGAGGAUUAGAUACCCUCGUACUUAACCUCAAGGGUAAUAAGUGAAGAACACCAAACCUUAGAGAAUUGACGGUCUAUGACCCAUCCAGGGGGAUUUGUCAUAUAAAUCGAUAGUCCCCGAUUAAAAAGGACCUUCUUUAUAAACUUACAUAUCGCCGAAAAAAAUGAUCUUCCUCAAAUCAGUCAAUUCAGGUAAGAUGUAGUCCAUAUGAAGGAAAUGAUUAAUCACUUAGAAGAAAUUAAGCUAGAGCUCAAAGAAUAAGGACCUGGAAGUAAGGAGUUAUUUGAAUUGACUCCUGAAAAGGCAAUCAAAGAUGUACAUAUCGCCCGUCACCCUAAAUAUUAGGUAAGUCGUAACAAAGUAGGUGUUUCGGAAGAAUCCCCUUGU